GCAAGUCGAGGGGCAGCGGGGUAGUGGCAACACUUCCGCCGGCGACCGGCGCACGGGUGAGUAACACGUAUGAAACCUGCCCGCAGCAGGGGGAUAAGCGGAAGAAAUUCCGUCUAAUACCGCGUAACAACGUUGGGAGGCAUCUCCCGAUGUUUAAAGAUUUAUCGGCUGCGGAUGGUCAUGCGGCGCAUUAGCUAGUUGGCGGGGCAACGGCCCACCAAGGCGACGAUGCGUAGGGGUUCUGAGAGGAAGGUC
rnacentral:rRNA from 1 species